rnacentral:rRNA from 1 species
CACGUAGGGCGCAAGCGUUGUCCGGAAUUAUUGGGCGUAAAGAGCUCGUAGGCGGUCUGUUACGUCUGCUGUGAAAACCCGGGGCUUAACCCUGGGCUUGCAGUGGAUACGGGCAGACUAGAGGCAGGUAGGGGAGAAUGGAAUUCCCGGUGCAGCGGUGAAAUGCGCAGAUAUCGGGAGGAACACCGGUGGCGAAGGCGGCAUCCUGGACCGACAUUGACGCUGAGGAGCGAAAGCUAGGGGGAGCAAACGGGG